rnacentral:rRNA from 1 species
GUAUGGUGCAAGCGUUAUCCGGAUUUACUGGGUGUAAAGGGAGCGUAGACGGCUGUGUAAGUCUGAAGUGAAAGCCCGGGGCUCAACCCCGGGACUGCUUUGGAAACUAUGCAGCUAGAGUGUCGGAGAGGUAAGUGGAAUUCCCAGUGUAGCGGUGAAAUGCGUAGAUAUUGGGAGGAACACCAGUGGCGAAGGCGGCUUACUGGACGAUGACUGACGUUGAGGCUCGAAAGCGUGGGGAGCAAACAGGAUUAGAUACCCUGGUAGUCCACGCCGUAAACGGUGGGCGCUAGGUGUGGGUUCCUUCCACGGAAUCCGUGCCGUAGCUAACGCAUUAAGCGCCCCGCCUGGGGAGU